rnacentral:rRNA from 1 species
UGGGCGGAGCUGAUCAGCCAUGCCGCGUGCAGGAAGACUGCCCUAUGGGUUGUAAACUGCUUUUGUACGGGAAGAAACACUCCUACGUGUAGGAGCUUGACGGUACCGUAAGAAUAAGCAUCNGGCUAACUCCGUGCCAGCAGCCGCGGUAAUA